rnacentral:misc_RNA from 1 species
CCCUUCAUUUGCACUUUUAUCUACAAUACUAAUCUCCCUCUUCGUGUGGGUUUAAUGAAUCUCGAAUUUAUUCUAAAAGUCUUGCUGUGUACAGAUUAUUUACUUGCCAUAUUUACAAUGUACAGUCAUUUACUUUUAAAACAUACUGUAUAUAUAUCAUUUCGUCGUAUAGAAAUAUAUACAAUAAUGGCAAUUUACAAUAUUCUUUAUUAGUUUUUAUCUCAUUUUAUUACCUCAUGUGAAUGUAAUUUGAUUAAAUAAUGUUUCAUAUAGCAAUAUUAAUACACUGUAUAUUAGAAUAGAAUAAAAUACAAAGUUAAUUAAGAUGACAAUAAGAUUAGUCCUGGGUUAUAUGGUAUUGGAACUCAGCAGUAAAAACAUUUCAUUAGUUAAAUCAAGAUAUGAAUUUAUAACGAUGCGUUUUUUUCUCCUUUUUAAUCAUAAACGGCGUUUGUUUUCCCAUUAAGGUUUUUUUGCAAUUCAAUUUGCAUUUUGUAUUCAUUGAUAAUGCGAUACCGAAUCAACAUUGUACUUUCUUAUUGUGAUAAUUUACAUGUUUGUAGAAUAUUAAAGGUAAAAACAAGCGU